rnacentral:rRNA from 1 species
AUUGAACGCUGGCGGCAGGCCUAACACAUGCAAGUCGAGCGGAGCGGAGGACGGGUGAGUAAUGCCGAGGAAUCUGCCUGGUAGUGGGGGAUAACGUCCGGAAAAGGGCGCUAAUACCGCAUAAGAUCAGAAGAGCAUAGGUCGGAUUAGCUAGUUGGUGGGGUAAAGGCCUACCAAGGCGACGAUCCGGAACUGUUAUGAGAGGAUGAUCCGUCAAACGUGACCUGAGACACGGUCCGGACUCCUACGGUGGGCAGCAGUGGGGAUUAUUGGACAAUGGGCGAAAGCCUGAUCCAGCCAUGCCGCGUGUGUGAAGAAGGUCUUCGGAUUUUAAAGCACUUUAAGUUGGGAGGCGUUACCAACAGAAUAAGCACCGGCUAACUUCGUGCCAGCAGCCGCGGUAAUAC